GCCCCCGUAGCACAGUGGUAGUGCGUGUCACUCGUAAUGACAAGGUCUUAGGUUCAAUCCCUGACGUGGGCA